UACGGGGGGGGCAAGCGUUGUUCGGAAUUACUGGGCGUAAAGGGCUCGUAGGCGGCCAACUAAGUCGGACGUGAAAUCCCCAGGCUCAACCUGGGAACUGCGUCUGAUACUGGAUGGCUUGAAUCCGGGAGAGGGAUGCAGAAUUCCAGGUGUAGCGGUGAAAUGCGUAGAUAUCUGGAGGAAUACCGGUGGCGAAGGCGGCAUCCUGGACCGGCAUUGACGCUGAGGAGCGAAAGCCAGGGGAGCGAACAGG
rnacentral:rRNA from 1 species